rfam:Ktedonobacter racemifer DSM 44963 strain SOSP1-21 Krac_Contig206, whole genome shotgun sequence.
GAACAAGCGAAACAGAGUACGAGGUGGAUGCCUUGGCGCUGAAGACCGAUGAAGGACGCGGAGACCGGCGAAACGUUCAGGGGGAGCUGCAUCCAAGCGAUGAGCCCUGAGAUUCCGAAUGGGGCAACCCCUCCAGAGUGAUGUCUGGAGACCUAUCGCUGAACACAUAGGCGAUAUGGAGGAUCGUGGGUGAACUGAAACAUCUCAGUAGCCUGCGUAAGAGAAAUCAACCGAGAUUCCCGUAGUAGUGGCGAGCGAACCGGGAAGAGCCCAAACCAUCUAUUCUUCGGAAUAGGCGGGGUUGUAGGACCAACAGUAGCGAUCAUGUGCUUACUCGAAGGCAUUGGAACGUGCCACCAGAGGGGGUGAGAGUCCCGUAGAGGACGAGGACAUGAGCGUGGUUGGAAUCCUGAGUACCACGAGACACGUGCAAUCUUGUGGGAAGCUGGGGGGACCACCCUCCAAGGCUAAAGAACUUCAGCGACCGAUAGCGAACAAGUACCGUGAGGGAAAGGUGAAAAGUACCCCGAGAGGGGGAUGAAAGAGUCCCUGAAACCACGUACUCACAAGCAGUCAGAGGCCACUGUGCCGUUGCGGCACCAAGGGCUGAUGGCGUGCCUUUUGUAGAAUGAUCCGGCGAGUGCAUCGCACGUUGCAGGUUAACCAGCGUUAAAGCUGGGGAGCCAGAGGGCAACCGAGUCUCAAACAGGCGUACUGUGUAGCGGCGAUGCGACCCGAAACCGUGUGAGCUACCCAUGAGCAGAGUGAAGCGGAUGUAACAGUCCGUCGAGGCUCGAACCCACCAGUGUUGCAAAACUGGGGGAUGACUUGUGGGUAGGGGUGAAAUGCUAAUCGAACACGGAGAUAGCUGGUUCUCCCCGAAAUGUAUUGAGGUACAGCCACCUGAAACGACUAUCCUGGAGGUAGAGCACUAGAUAGGCUAGGGGCCCUGUGCGGGUUACCAACCCUACUUAAACUCCGAAUGCCAGGACAGGAUCCAGGUGAGUGAGACGGCGGGGGCUAAGCUUCGUCGUCAAAAGGGAAACAGCCCAGACCAUCGGCUAAGGUCUCCAAAUCGAUGCUCAGUGUCAAAGGGGGUCAAUGCGCCCAAACAGCCAGGAUGUUGGCUUAGAAGCAGCCAUCAUUUAAAGAGUGCGUAAUAGCUCACUGGUCGAGUGCAAUGGCACCGACAACGUAUCGAGGCUUAAGCAUCGUACCGAAGCCGUGGAAUACAACGUUCAUUCGUUGUAUUGGUAGGGGAGCGUUCUCGACGCCUGAGAAGCCAGACCGUAAGGACUGGUGGAGGUAAGAGAAGUGAGAAUGCCGGAAUGAGUAGCGCAAUGUCUGCGAGAACCAGACACACCGAAUGCCUGAGGGUUCCUGGGCAACGUCAAUCGUCCCAGGGUGAGUCGGGCCCUAAGCCGAGGGCGUCAUGCCGUAGGCGAUGGAAAGCAGGUCAGAGAAUCCUGCACCGGAACGUUUCGUUAUGAGCAAUGGGGGGACGCGGUAGGGAAGGUGAGCCGAUCGAAUGGACAGGAUCGGUGCCUCUGUUGAAGCGCGUGACCGAGGAAAAUCCCGGACACAGUAUGCGUAACACUGAGGCCGAGCGCCCGCGAGGGUGCGGAAGUCAUUGGUCCCCAGGCCGUCAAGAAAAGCCUCUCGCCAGAAAUUGUUCCGCCCGUACCGCAAACCGACACUGGUAGGCAGGGGGAAAUCUCCCCAGGUGAUCGAGCGACCCUCUGUUAAGGAACUCGGCAAAUUAACCCCGUACCUUUGGAAGAAGGGGUGCCUGCGUAGCUGUGUGUGCUUGCACACAUGGUGAGAAGGUUGCAAGAAAUCGGCUCAAGCGACUGUUUACCAAAAACACAGGUCUCUGCGAACGCGAAAGCGGAAGUAUAGGGGCUGACUCCUGCCCAGUGCCGGAAGGUUACGAGGAGUGGUGUGCGUAGCCACGAAUCUAAGCCCCGGUGAACGGCGGCCGUAACUAUAACGGUCCUAAGGUAGCGAAAUUCCUUGUCGGGUAAGUUCCGACCCGCACGAAAGGAGUAACGACUUGAGCGCUGUCUCGACAGAGGACUCGGCGAAAUUGAAGUACCCGUGAAGAUACGGGUUACCCACGACAGGACAAAAAGACCCCGUGGAGCUUUACUACAGUUUGGCCUGGAAACGAAGUAUGGUGUGCGUAGCAUAGGUGGGAGCCGGAGAACUCAUCCUUGUGGGGGUGAGGGAGGCACUAGUGAAAUACCACUCUCACCAUGGUUUGUGUCUCACACGUCACCGUGAUCCGGGACGUGAACAGGGCCAGAUGGGUAGUUUGACUGGGGCGGUCGCCUCCCAAAGAGUAACGGAGGCGCCCAAAGGUUCCCUCAGGGUGGAUGGACAUCACCCUUUGUAGAGUGUAAAGGCACAAGGGAGCUUGACUGUGAGGCUGACACGCCGAGCAGGGACGAAAGUCGGGCUUAGUGAUCCCACAUUCCCGUGUGGAAGGAGUGUGGCUCAACGGAUAAAAGCUACCCCGGGGAUAACAGGCUUAUCUUGCCCAAGAGUUCACAUCGACGGCAAGGUUUGGCACCUCGAUGUCGGCUCGUCGCAUCCUGGGGCUGGAGUAGGUCCCAAGGGUUGGGCUGUUCGCCCAUGAAAGCGGCACGCGAGCUGGGUUCAGAACGUCGCGAGACAGUUCGGUCUCUAUCCGUCGUGGGCGUCGGAAAAGUGAGGGGAGUCAUCUUCAGUACGAGAGGACCGAGAUGGCUUGACCGCUAGUGCGCCAGUUGGGGGGCCUCCUCCAGAGCUGGGUAGCUACGUCAAGAAGGGAUAAGCGCUGAAAGCAUCUAAGCGCGAAGCCGACCCGAAGAUAACUUUUCCCACUCUCUUCGAAGAGUCAAGAUCCCAGGAAGAAGACCUGGUGGAUAGGCUGCGCGUGGACGCCUGGUAACAGGUGGAGCGGAGCAGUACUAAUGAUCGUACGGCUUGUUUCC